UUCGUGAAUUCGAACGAAAUAAUAAUAAUUCUAAUUUUGAAUAAUAAAUAAUAGUAAAGAUGAAUUUCUCUCGUGUAUUGUUGUUCGUGUUCGCGUGUUUGGUGGCAGCGUGCAGCGUGUCGGCGGCGCCCGAGCCCAGGUGGAAGGUCUUCAAGAAAAUUGAGAAAGUUGGCCGCAACGUCCGUGAUGGUGUCAUCAAAGCUGGGCCAGCCAUCGCCGUCAUCGGUCAAGCCAAGGCUUUGGGAUAAAUAACUAUAGUAUUAUAUUAGUACUACUAAUAGAAUAUACUUUGUAAAUAUUAUUUAUUAUGCUGUGAAAAUAUAUUGUUUUGUAAGUUA